rnacentral:rRNA from 1 species
AAUGGGGGCAACCCUGAUCCAGCCAUGCCGCGUGAGUGAAGAAGGCCCUAGGGUCGUAAAGCUCUUUCGCCUGUGAUGAUAAUGACAGUAGCAGGUAAAGAAACCCCGGCUAACUCCGUGCCAGCAGCCGCGGUAAUACGGAGGGGGUUAGCGUUGUUCGGAAUUACUGGGCGUAAAGCGCGCGUAGGCGGAUUGGAAAGUUGGGGGUGAGAUCCCGGGGCUCAACCCCGGAACUGCCUUCAAAACUCCCAGUCUAGAGUUCGAGAGAGGUGAGUGGAAUUCCGAGUGUAGAGGUGAAAUUCGUAGAUAUUCGGAAGAACACCAGUGGCGAAGGCGGCUCACUGGCUCGAUACUGACGCUGAGGUGCGAAAGUGUGGGGAGCAAACAGGAUU